rnacentral:rRNA from 1 species
GUGCCAGCAGCCGCGGUAAUACAGAGGGUGCGAGCGUUAAUCGGAUUUACUGGGCGUAAAGCGUGCGUAGGCGGUUUUUUAAGUCGGAUGUGAAAUCCCUGACCUUAACUUAGGAAUUGCAUUCGAUACUGGGAAGCUAGAGUAUGGGAGAGGAUGGUAGAAUUCCAGGUGUAGCGGUGAAAUGCGUAGAGAUCUGGAGGAAUACCGAUGGCGAAGGCAUCCAUCUGGCCUAAUACUGACGCUGAGGUACGAAAGCAUGGGGAGCAAACAGGAUUAGAUACCCCGGUAGUCC